GAACGGCAGAUGCUUCUUGAAUAGCUUGCUCAACUGCCUGCAAUUCCGAUUGUACAUGUUCUAAGCGCUUUAAUCUAGUAUCGUUGUGAUCGAUACCACGCAAGUCGUCCAGAGUUUUGGAUAAACUGAAACCAUUAGAGCCGCCAGAAGAUAUUUUGUCGCGCUCUAAAGAAAGCUUUGCAGAAUACUCUUGAAGUGCCUCGACAUCCUGCUGUUUUUGAUCGCGGCGCUUCAAGAGUUCUUUCAAGGAAUGAGCGUAAGAUUCAACGUCUUUAAUUGUAUCCAACAAUAAAGUUAAUUUUUCUGUAAGAUUAGCAUACUCUGUGCCAGUUUGUUGCAAUGCAUUCUGAAUGGAUUCAAUAGGCACAUCUAAAGCUUGAUCCAAGGAUGCCAAUCGAUCAAACUGAAUCGAAACAUCCUCAUAAUCAGAUUCUAGAGCCUUCUCUAAACGUAAAAGCUUUUGAAUGGAUCCUUCCAAAUUAGAUAUUCCAAACAUAAACUGUUGCACAUGGUCGCGUUGGAUAUCAAACUCAGUGGGUUCUUCCUUCAGCUUGGAAAACGCAUUUAGCAAGGAAUCCGAGAUUUCGUCCAACUUCGAUGUGUUAUUCAAUUUCGGCUGAAUAAAGAAUCGAACAUAAUUAUUCCAAUUUGGAUUUUCUAAAAAUGCAAUGAAAUGAGGCGAUUGGUGCAGCACAGGAUGAAGAGCACAACGUGUAAUAUAACGAUUCAACAGCUUGGCUCUUCGAUUUAUGAAAUUAUCUGAAAACCGACCUCCUUUGAUGUAUUCUACAAAAAGUGUUAGUGACGAAUCAUUGAAAAGUCAAAGACAUCGGAAUCACUGCACUAACGAGUUUCUAUUUAAUUGCACGCAUACCAAGUUUAUGUUUAGCGGGAAGAGGAGGGACUACACAAUCCUCAUUCAUUCGUGAUAAUAUUUCUUGAAGCUUCACAAAAUCAGAAAAACGACGACGAACCUUGCAUUCCGCACGUGUGAAAAUCGAAAGAUUGGUCUAGUAACAUAGAGUAAGCACAUUUCCAAAAAAUAAUUCAUCAGUUACUUUUCAAAAAUAAGACUUACCUUAGUGAUGAUUAGAUAAGAUACAUGAGUGUCUCGAGAUCCCUGUAGCUCCUUUCU